rnacentral:rRNA from 1 species
AACGAACGCUGGCGGCAUGCCUAACACAUGCAAGUCGAACGAGACCUUCGGGUCUAGUGGCGCACGGGUGCGUAACGCGUGGGAAUCUGCCCUUGGGUUCGGAACAACAGUUGGAAACGACUGCUAAUACCGGAUGAUGACUUCGGUCCAAAGAUUUAUCGCCCGGGGAUGAGCCCGCGUCGGAUUAGCUAGUUGGUGAGGUAAAAGCUCAACAAGGCGACGAUCCGUAGCUGGUCUGAGAGGAUGAUCAGCCACACUGGGACUGAGACACGGCCCAGACUCCUACGGGAGGCAGCAGUGGGGAAUAUUGGACAAUGGGCGAAAGCCUGAUCCAGCAAUGCCGCGUGAGUGAUGAAGGCCUUAGGGUUGUAAAGCUCCUUUACCCGGGAAGAUAAUGACUGUACCGGGAGAAUAAGCCCCGGCUAACUUCGUGCCAGACGCCGCCGUAAAAC